ACUCCACUCUGGAAGUGCUUCUCAUAUAGAGUUAUCUCCCAUUAGUUCAUCAAAUGGCACUUUGGAUAUAUGGCAGACAAAAACAGAGCCGACACAACACAAACAGAACUUUGGAUAAAAAAGGCAUGAAAAGAAAUUUAAACAGAGAGAGCUUGCUAGUAGUGGAUGAUUUUAGCUUUUGAAGUUUUACGUAUUCAAAUUACCCCAUAUCACAUGAAACUUGCAAAACUUCCAGUGAAUAAACUUAUAGACAGACAAGUGGAGAUAUUGAACCAGAUUGUUCCAAGAUUGUACAUGAUGUAAUACCACAUCCAGGGUCCCAGCAGUUGUGUAUACAGGACAAUUGUACCUCAUACAUGGACAGUAAUAGCAAUUGAAUCAAAUGAAGAAAAUGAGACUUAACAUCAUAGAAACUUAAAGAAAAGAAAUAUAAAGAUUUAUUUGCCAAUGGAUGAAGUUGCUUAUCUUAAAGUAUGUUGAGAGAAGUUCAGAACAAGCUAUUUUGUUUGGGGAGGAGUUGUCAGCACGUCAUCAUUGAAUAACUUAGUCAAUUGUAUUAGAAGUGAAGCCUAAACAGAAAUGAGACAAUUAUCAAAUAAUUCAAAGACUACAUGGAUGUUAUCUGGACUAACAUUUGUAUGACCCAAAUGUGGUAUUUUCAUAUGAAGACUUUCAAGGCAAAUAAUUGGCUGUGGCAAACAUGUGUAUGCAUUUAACAUGUUUAAAGACUUGAAGAACUUGUACUGCCUUCUUCAGAUUUCACUAGAAUUUGUUUAAGACAGUAAAUUCUGAGUAUGAAUUGAAGAAUUUUUGC